rnacentral:rRNA from 1 species
AUGAAACGGUGCCUACAAAGUCGGUCUGCGAAUGGCUCAUUAAACCAGCUAUGAUCUCAGCAGUGAAAACCAAAGCGCAGAGUAGCCCAGAGAAGGGUCCUUCGGGGCCCUUUGACGGGCGGACAUGGUGUACUCGGAUACCCUUUCUGAAACAGAAGGCUAAUACGUGUGGUCAAAGAGCGAUUACGCCCCUAUCCUUUACUAUCAAGCGAUGGGGUGCAGAGGGCUGACUCAAAUGAGUAGCCGCUCUACUUAAGAGCUCUAGCGAGGAAUGGUUGACUCAAGCCUUCACUGUUUCGAGAGGUGUGGUCCAGCAGUUGCAAACGCAGCUGUUGUAUUACCAUACGUCCAUGUGCCGCGGUAGCAGUCUCGACUGCUUCACUGUUCGAGUUUCUGACCCAUCAGCCGUCUAUCGUGGAGGAGGGGCCCACGAUGGCGAUCACGGGUAACGGGGAAUUGGGGUUCGAUUCCGGAGAGGGAGCCUGAAAAACGGCUACCACGGCCAAGGUUGGCAGCAGGCACGAAAAUUGCCCUAUACCGAUGUGCAUGGUGAGGCAGCGACGAGAAAUGUUACCUGUUCUAGUCUUACGACUGGGACUGGUGGAAUGGAUGAGGACCUAAGAAAUGCAGUGAGUAUCAACUCGAGGGCCAGUCUGGUGCCAGCAGCCGCGGUAAUUCCAGCUCGAGUAGCCUACUUUGACGUUGUUGCUGUUAAAAAGCUCGUAGUUGGUUGGCAUCCAAGUUUUGCCUUCUCGUUUCACUCCGGUGAAGCUUGACUUGGGCGGCUUGAUGUGCUCCUAUGUCGGUUCAGAAUGUCAGAUGAGCUUCGUGAGUUUUCUGCCUUUUUCGGAGGGUAAGAAGGCUCUGUUGGCUUCAAAUGCUUCUCGAACCUGAUGUAGUUCUACAGUGGAAAUGAUUCCCCGCCCAGGAAUCGAUGGGAGUUCUCAGCUCUUCGAGUUUUGUGCCUCUCGAGGCACCUUACAAGGAGACUGUGAUAUGCCAACGUUUCUAUUCGGUCUGCAUCUGCAAAAGGAGUGGGCUCGCUCACUUUUAGAGCUUCUCUCAAGGAACCGAUUGGCUAUGCGCGGAGGAUUGGAUGAGUUAGCCUCUAGUGAUUGGGUGGAUUUUCAACCUUCGGGUUGAGAUUAUUACCUUUCACAUCUUAUGGUUGGGGCUCUUCUCGUCCUUCCAAUGCCUGCGGCGUUAAAAGGGGACGUCCGCUGAUUGUUACCGUGAAUAAAACAAAGCGUUAAAUGCAGUUGACUUCUUGUCGAUCGCAUGUCUCAGUGUGGCAUACAAGGGACCGUUCCUAUGGAACUCGAUGUUCUGGUACUCUUUACGAGUCCACUGCUGGAGGAAUUUCGGCUCCUUUGGUGAAGCUUGAAGAACCUAUCUCGAUGGGUUCCUUGGGUAUGAACCGAGGAGUUGAAGUGCUGACGGAGGUCGUUAUUGUGCCCAGGGUACUGAGAGGCGAGCGGUGAAAUGCUUGGACCCUCUUCAGGACCACCAGAAGCGAAAGCGCUGGGCGGAUCUCGACCUGCCAAUCAAGAACGAGAGUAUGGGGAUCGAAGAGGAUCAGAUACCCUUGUAGUCCAUGCUGUAAACGAUGCCAACUGAGGGUCGAGGUUGUGUUCCUUCGGAAUCUCUGCCUCGGCCCUUUCCCCCCAUAACGAGAAAUCCAAGUUUAUGGGUUCAGGGGGGAGUACUGUCGCAAGGCUGAAACUUAAAGGAAUUGACGGAGUGGUACCACAAGGCGUGGAAUGUGCGGCUUAAUUUGACUCAACGCGGGGAACGUUACCAGAUCAGCACGUGAAGAGGACAAGACAGGUUGAAGCACUUUCUCGAUAACUCGAAAAGUGGUGCAUGGCCGUUCCUGGUUGGUGGAGUGAUUUGUCUGGUUGAUUCCGAUAACGAGCGAGGUCUUCACCUCUCAAUAGCCAGCGUUCUCGCCCAUGUAAGGUGCUGCAGCCAUCUUCCUUCCUGUCCUACCUUCGGGUAGAAUGGGUUGGUCUGAUGGUGUUGCGACCCGAGAGGACGCGCAAACUUCCAAGCUUCUCAGUGGGGUCGGACACUUUGUCUUCGACUAAGUGCCCAUAUCCGGAAGCCGACAGCAGGUCUGUGAUGCCCUUAGAUGCUCUGGGCUGCACGCGCAUUACACUGACGUGGGGAAUCAGUGUCUUUCUAGGAUCCCUUGAACUUGGGCCUCAAAACCCAAGGAAUGGGGAACCGGCUUGAACUCCUGUUCCGAGGCUGGAGUGGGAAACCCUCCAAGUCUACGUCGUGAUGGGGAUUGGUGCUUGAAACUGUUUGCCUUAAACGAGGAAUGCCUAGUAAGUGCAAGUCAACAGCUUGCACUGACUUCGUCCCUGCCACUUGUACACACCGCCCGUCGUUGCUACCGAUGGUGUUGAGAUAGAGGUCUAAGGAGACUAGUAGCUUGUAGAUAACCUCGGUUGUCUACCUGUGAACGCCGAAUUCGACCAAUAUCUUACUGUGGAGGAAGCAAAA